rnacentral:rRNA from 3 species
CGACCCCAGGUCAGGCGGGAUUCACCCGC